rnacentral:rRNA from 1 species
GACGAACGCUGGCGGCUUGCUUAACACAUGCAAGUCGAACGGAAAGGCCCUGCUUUUGUGGGGUGCUCGAGUGGCGAACGGGUGAGUAACACGUGAGUAACCUGCCCUUGACUUUGGGAUAACUUCAGGAAACUGGGGCUAAUACCGGAUAGGAGCUCCUGCUGCAUGGUGGGGGUUGGAAAGUUUCGGCGGUUGGGGAUGGACUCGCGGCUUAUCAGCUUGUUGGUGGGGUAGUGGCUUACCAAGGCUUUGACGGGUAGCCGGCCUGAGAGGGUGACCGGCCACAUUGGGACUGAGAUACGGCCCAGACUCCUACGGGAGGCAGCAGUGGGGAAUAUUGCACAAUGGGCGGAAGCCUGAUGCAGCAACGCCGCGUGCGGGAUGACGGCCUUCGGGUUGUAAACCGCUUUCGCCUGUGACGAAGCGUGAGUGACGGUAAUGGGUAAAGAAGCACCGGCUAACUACGUG